rnacentral:rRNA from 1 species
GUGGGGAAUCUUGCGCAAUGGGCGAAAGCCUGACGCAGCCAUGCCGCGUGAAUGAUGAAGGUCUUAGGAUUGUAAAAUUCUUUCACCGGGGACGAUAAUGACGGUACCCGGAGAAGAAGCCCCGGCUAACUUCGUGCCAGCAGCCGCGGUAAUACGAAGGGGGCUAGCGUUGCUCGGAAUUUCUGGGCGUAAAGGGCGCGUAGGCGGACAGUUUAGUCAGAGGUGAAAGCCCAGGGCUCAACCUUGGAAUUGCCUUUGAUACUGGCUGUCUUGAGUACGGGAGAGGUGAGUGGAACUCCGAGUGUAGAGGUGAAAUUCGUAGAUAUUCGGAAGAACACCAGUGGCGAAGGCGACUCACUGGCCCGUUACUGACGCUGAGGCGCGAAAGCGUGGGGAGCAAACAGGAUUAGAUACCCGGGUAGUCC